ACAGAAGCCUCAUGCAUCUUGACCAGGACGGUGGAUGCAUGGCUUACAUUGGUCACAACUUGUCAACUUGUAUGACUGAAAACUGAACAUCACAUUGAAUUGGACUCAAAGGCAAGACCUGAGGCAAAAUUCAUGUAAGGAGGGAGUUUGGGCGAAGCUUGAGGACUGCUGCCCGGAAGCGUAGAUUCAAGUUGCCCUGAAUACACCUCCUAUUAGCAGCUGUUACAGGUUCAGAAAAAGGAUGGAGGUAGAAAGUCCUCUCUCCCAAACACUAUGAUUGACACUGCAGAGUUCUGCAACUCUCGUACGAGGGAGAUUUCAUGAUGAUCUCAGUAACCGAUCAGAGAAUCAACGACUGACUUCGCUGAGGCACGGUGAUGAAAAGGUCAAGGUGGUCUGGUCUGAGUGAAGUCACAGCAAGAACCCUUGUCCAGGGCCAUUCUCACCUUUGGGGACAGCUCCUUCCCUGUAUGGUCCUCAUGUCACUGCACUUUCCUGCCUUGUUUCUUGCUGAAGCCAUUAUUUCUUAAUUCCUUAGUAGAUAUGCAGAGCGGACAUCCCAAAGAAGCUAGAAAAAUUGAUGAGCAGGGAACAGAUCAAAUCCUCUCCAUCAGUGGAAGGCAAUUCACGAGGGAAGAAGGCAAGACCAUGGGGUAAUUUUUCUGAGACUUGACAAUGUUUGCCAAGUAAAUAAAUCUGCCAUUUAACACUACGAUAAAAGCUGUCAUAGCCAGGGUAUUAGUGACUACUUGAGGUUUGAGGACAAUGAAGACAGAGUAAGAUAAACAUCCUUACUAUCCAGAAAAAAAAAACGGAACCAGAAGACAGCGCUUCUUACUAUCCACAAAAGAAAUGGAACCGCAAGACAGCCCUUCUUAUUUUUCUCCAUCUUCGAUGGUGAGGAAGAAUAAAAAAAAAGUUGCUUUUAAAGUAUAUUCAUUAAAAUCAAAUUCUAUUAUCAUACACACAAAAUAUUUACGUGAAACCAGCCACAAAAGAAUGACAAGGAACGCUACUGAUUUGUCCAUUCUGGGGGAUAAGAACACAGAUUCUUAUCUCACUCUUGUUAAAAGAAAACUUCAGCUGAAUUAAAUUUAAAGGAGUUUAAUUGAGCAAUGAAUGAUUUGCACAUCGGGCAGCCCCCAGAAUUACAGCAGAUUCAGAGAGACUCCAGUGCAGCCACGUGGUGGAAGAUUUAUAGACAAAAAAAGGGAAGUGAGGUAGAGAAACACCUGGAUUAGUUACAGGUUGGCAUUUGCCUUAUUUACACACAGUUUGAACAUUCAGCAGUGUAUGAGUGAUUGAAGUACGGCUGCUGGGACUGGCCGAGACUCAGCAAUUGUGACAGGUACAUACUCCUAAUUUAGGUUUUCAAUCUUGUCUACCUAUUAAGUUAGGCUCAGUUUGUUCACAGGGACUCCAAUACAGAAGUACGGAGUCCUUCUCAGGCCAUAUUUAGUUCGCUUUAACAAUUCCCCCUUUUUGGUCAUUUUAUCAGUUUUGAGAGAUUGAUCGAAACUUGAGUUAUUGAUGUCACUGUCACCAUUGGUCUUGAAACCCACUAGGAAGCAGAACAGUGAGUUUUGCAAAGGUAGGAACAAGGACUGAGUUGAGGAUACCACCUUAUGCUGGAAAGUCCUGUUUGCAAGAGAAAAACAAAACCUGGUCUAUUCUAGGACCCAUGUGUUUCCUUAAAGUCUUAAUUCGAUUAUGUCACAUUUAGCACGAAUGAUGCCAUUUUGGUUCGGUUUGGUCUGUUGGGACCUAGUGCUCAGUCCAAAACAAUGGCCUCCCAUCAUUUUGUUUAAAAAAUUCCCCCUUUGUCAGGUUGUCACUUAGGCAAGAGUGUGACCAAAACUUAGGAUGUUAGCGCCACUCUCCGUUACUAUCAUUUUGGAUUUCCAGUCUCAGCAUGUCACUCAUCGGUUUCGGUGUCCUCGUGGUCACACAUUUCUUUCAGCUCUUGUCAUUCCAGUUGAAGAGAGACCAUCUGACGUUCUAAAGAUGGCUUCAUGCAAACAUUUAAAACCUUUGAGAGAAUACAGUGCACCAGGGAGACUAUUCUUAUGACUACUGAGAGGGUUAACACCAAGAAUUUGGAGUAUGCUCCUUAGCCAGGGUCCCCAUAAACCAGACCACCUAAACUCAAAUAGACCAUUCUUUGACUUAACUCAGUGGUCUUUUCGUUAAUUCCCUACAACAGACUCUCUAUAACACCUGAUGUUUUCUCCAUAGGCCUUAAGUGCCAGCAUCUGCACAGGUACUUUCCUGUUUAGCCAAUUCUAUUUUUUAGCAAAUGAUGCCCUUCUAGAAGAGGGAAGGCCUCUUGGCAAUGGUCUCUUUAACCCAUGCUGUGGGUUAAGAGGAGUGAACCAAUGUUCUGCUUCUGAAUGAUUAUGAGGCACCAUAUGUACCAUUGAAGUUUCUCACCUAUGAUACACUGGGCCUUCAUCUUUAUCUAUCAAGUUAUAAGAUUAUCCAUGUAUAAAGCUGGCUGCAAAGCCCUUCACAAAUAAAAGUAUACCCCAUAAGUGCACAAAACAGACCCCCUUCUCACUUCUGUUGUUCACAGAGGCGGAAGCAACGGAAAAACAUUCAAAGAUAAGAGUCUCAUGAUAGUAAGAAGUCUUGAUCCAUGAUCUUCAGAAAGAGCUGCUCACAUCAAGGAUGCCAUCUUCUUCUGGGGAGAAACUUCCCUGAUUAGCUUUACCUUAAGGGUUUCAAUGGAUGUAGAGUUCCAAGAGUGACCCUGCUCAGUUGUGAGAUUAUGACCCCAAGGUUCAAGAUCCUGAUGUUUUGUUGCAGUGAUGAUGCCAAGGGCAGCGUUUCUCUGAUGUUCUCAGAAGAUCCCAUCUUUGGGUUCUAGAUUGUGAAGGGGUUGAUUGUCCUCAGUGAACCAUAAAAAGCUCUUUACCUGGUGAAAAUACACUGAUACAUAGUAAUCUACUGUUAUAACAUUAGCCCUCCUGCAUGGGAAAGCUUUAGUACAACCAGAACACAUACAUUGAAAAUGACAACUGAAUGAAACCCCUUUAUAAAUGUUUAAAUGCCUCAUCAGGUAGCCAAAUGUACAUGAAGCUUUGAUUGACUUCCCAGGAGUAUGGGUUUGACAAACUAAACAUUGUUUAUAAACUAUUUUAACAAUCUGUAAGUCACCACACCAACAUAUUUAAUUUGGAUCAUUUUAUCUUUUCCAGGAUGAGUCAUGGAAUGCAUAACUUUUAAUAACAAAAGCUUUAAGGACUCACGAAGGACAAGGCAGCCAUCUUGGUUCUCCAUGAGUCCAUGCUUAACAUCGGACUUAUGUCCUCUUGGGUGCCAGUUGUUUCUCCAAAUUGGGCACAUAGCAUGGAUAACUGAUGGGUUAUCACAGGGGAUGGAAAAAUCUCAACAAAAAAGGAGCGCAGAAGAGCCUGGCUAGGCGGGAGAACACGGUCAGGCCCGCAGGAGACGCCGCGGCACCUGCCAGAAAGAGAGCCGCAGGCCAAGACCAGGAGACGCGAGAGAGGUGGGCAGGGCUGCCCGAGAGACCCAGGCGGCCAUUGCCCGCCCUGCGUCUGCGCCUGCGCCGGAGCCUCCUCCACACUGCGCCAGCGCCGAGUCCGGCCGCCUCCUCAUUGCGCCGGCGCCGGGGCUUCCUCCACACCGCGCCUGCGCCGAUGACAACCCGCCUCUACAGGACGCCUGCGCAACGCCAUAGUCACCUCAUCAGCUCCGUGCACUUACGAGUCUCUCUCUGAUCGACCACGUGUUCCUGUCGGCUCACAGAGGCCGCCUCAGGGUCCUCCCCCAUUGUCUUCCUCGCACCCUCCACUGUUCCCGGCCCUUCACUCUGCGCUUGCGCAGGAGUCGCUCGCUCCUCUCUGCGCCUGCGCAGAGGCCACCUCCUCCCCGCCCGUCCGCUCCCUUGGCGUCGUCUUGGGCCGCGCCCCGACCCCUUCUGUUUACGCAUGCGCAGGAGCCGCCCUGCGCGGGUGGGGGGCUGAGCCCCUGUGGCUUCAGGUUUAAAGGCGCGAGCGCCACCCACGCAGGCACAAGGGCUCCUAGUCGUUUUAUUUUUAGCGUAAGGUUUUCCUCUUUAACAAGGAAGUAAAAAAAAAAGUUGUGCAAUAAAUAUUAAUCGUCCUUAUAUGUACUCGGGAACGUUCGUCCUUUAGGUUUUCUCCUGGCGCAUGGGCGCCGCCAAUCAUUUCGGGGCUUAUUUUGGUUCUAAAGCCCGGGGCAGCCAGGCCUCCCUGCCUGGCCUCGGCGGGGACGCGGGACCUGGGGCCCCGGACCGGGCCUAACCGCCCUGGCCGGUCCCCACUGAUGGUGGCGGUCGGUCCUGAUCGUCCUGAUGGCAGCGACCAGGCUGGACUCGGGCUGUGCAGGGGCGAGGGGAGCAGGGCGGGGUGACGCCCGGAGAGCGGCCUGGAGAGCGCGUGCUUCAGAAGGCGUGGGCACCCUGUCCCCUUUGCAGAUGGGGAUGCAGGCCCUGGUGGCGGUGGAGGGGAGAUGGGGGCAGGGACGUUGCCGGGCAGAGGAAGCUGGGCCAUUCCUGGGGGAUUCCUGGGAGCCAUGUGGGAGAGGCGUGAGGAAGUGAGACCUUCACCCCGAGACAGGUCCUGACACACCCUCUGGUGCCUCUACUCAAGUGAGAAGUUUGGCUGCUGUAACUGACUGGGAAGCUUAAAAUAACAGACAAUCAUCUCUCACAUUUAUGGGGACUGGGAAGUCCAAGACCAAGUUGCCAUCUGGGGAGGGCCUGUUCCUCACAGCGCCUUCCAGCUCAGGCCUCGUUUAUAAGGGCACUCAAGCCUUCCACGACAACGGGUCCUCAUGACUUACUCACCUCGGAAAGCCCCACCCCCAAGACCAUCACAUUGUGGGUGAUGGCAGAGCAUAAGGUGCCUUCCCCACAUGCUCGGGUUGGCCCAGCGUCUCACGCUAGCAGCUACGUGGAAUAGUUAUUUUUUCUGGAGAACUCUGGGACCCCUCUGAUGUCUUGGAGCACCCACACAGGCCGUUCACUGUGCACGCUGUGAGGCUGUCGUCUUGGAGCACCCACACAGGCCGUUCACUGUGCACGUGGUGAGGCUGUCCUCUGGGGAGUUCUGCUGUUGUAUGGGUUCUGUCUGUGUCAAUGUCCCAGCGGGAACGCAGGGCACACUAGCGUCAUCCCCAGAGGGCUUGGUAAGGGGACUGUUUGCAGAGACAUAGGCAGAGGGCUGGAAAACUACCAAAAAAGUGCAGUGUUCUGGACCUAAUAAUAGCAGAGCUAUUCUCACCCUGGUCUGAAGGCAGGAGGGGAGGAGCAGUUAAUGGAUUCUGGAAGUCAGGUUGCACAGAGUCACCUUGAAAGAUGCCAUGACCUUCACCGAGGGCCAGACAGAGACUAAGAUGACCCCAUAGGAGAAUAAGACCUAGACCUCAUCCUCCUGCCUCCUGCCAGUCCCUGCCAGGGGUCGCCAAUGGCAAAACAGGACUGGAAGCCAGAGGCCAUGGAAGCCCAUGGAUGAAGUCCACAGGCCAGCCUCCCCGAGAGCAGCCUGGACGGUCCGCAGGAGACGUCUCCUGUCUUAGGCGUCCCACGCCGCGUGCUCCUGUUCAGCCCUGCCGAGGUGGAAGCUUGGAGUGGCUCACGGUGGAUGCAUUGACGCUGCAGACGCCAGCAAGUGCUACAAACCAGAGCUGGCCUUUAACUCAGACUGAUGGAGAAGGUGUUAAUAAUGCAGAUUAGACUUAAAAGUGUUGAAGCCAUUGCACUGUGAACAGCAAAAAAAUUGAAGAACUCUUCUGGCAUUUAAAAACAAUUACUCAGUUCAGCAGAGAAGUCACUGACAAACGAGAUCACACUGACUGCUUUGUCGUUUUGGUUUUGUCUUACUCAUUAAUGCAAAUAAGAACAUUCACUAGCAUCUGUGUCGGGCCUACCCUCCCUGGUCAAAUACAGCUACAGUCUCCCUGCAGAAACGAGUUUUCCAGAAAUGAGCCGAUGUUUUCUGCGAGAAUCAAUUGGUCAUAUACAAUUUACAAAAAUGAGUACUGUAUACUAUAUUUGUAAACUGUACACUGCAGAUGCUUUAUUUCACUGAAAUUUAUAAUACACUUAUCCAUGUAUAUGCAUGCAUGCAUUUUUGUUCCUGAGAUCCAGCUGUGAAAUGUUUACCAGCACAUAAAUUACCAGCACAUGCUCUUUUUUGUUAACCUACUAGGUAAAAUCUUCAUUUAUUACAUCAAAUUCUUGUAGUUUUUGUAUUGCAAUUAUGCAGAUAUUGAUUAUCGCAGUAUUACUGCAAUUAUACAGAUACCACAAUUUCAGAUAUUGAUCAGCGUGUUCAGUUGGUUUCUAAGGAGGUUUACUUACCUCAUGGUACACCUAGUUUGCAUAGUUUGAUUAUAUUUAACUCUUAUGCUAAUUGGGGGAAGUCAUUGAUUUAUUGGACAGAUGCACCUGUGGUCUUCCCUGAGCACAUCCUGGCCAAGGAUGCUGCCCCCAGGAGAUUUGAGAAGUCCUGUAAGGAUCAUAUCAGUAUUUUCAAAUACUUAUAGAAAAGCCAGAGGGAUUGACCCAGAAUUACCAAUAUAAGCUUGACCCUGAGAUAACAAUGCCAUUUUAUGUUUGCAUGCAUAAAACCAAUGCAAGAGGCUGAUGACUCCAGAUCCCUUAUAUAAGCCAAUAAAAAGUAGUUUCAUUUUUUAUUUCAUUUAAAAAAGUGUACCAUUAACCUAAAGCCUGCUUGUAAAACCAGUUUGUUUCUGAAGCAUUAGCUCAAAGCUCACUUGCAUUUGGUGAGAAGUCCCUCACGUGUGGCUGCCCUGGCUGGGAGCUCUGAGCUCUGGGAGCCAUUGGAACUGCUAAUCCCACCAGUGCCGUCUGAUUCCCUCUGCUCUAAUGGAGGUCUUUUGCCGGGUAUCCAGUGGCAUUUUCUGGGCUUGGGAGUCAGUAAUUCCCAGUGAUCAAGUGUCUCUGCUCUGAAAAUGCCUUUCUUUGUGAUAUGAAGCUGUCAGUGAUGGAGACUGACCUUUUCAUAAGUCAGUGAAUUUAGUUUCUUUCUCCUCAGCAGUGUCUGGGGGCUGGUCCUCAGCC
rnacentral:lncRNA from 1 species